rnacentral:rRNA from 1 species
UGGGGAAUUUUGGACAAUGGACGCAAGCCUGAUCCAGCCAUGCCGCGUGCGGGAAGAAGGCCUUCGGGUUGUAAACCGCUUUUGUCAGGGAAGAAAUCUUCUGAGUUAAUACCUCGGGAGGAUGACGGUACCUGAAGAAUAAGCACCGGCUAACUACGUGCCAGCAGCCGCGGUAAUACGUAGGGUGCAAGCGUUAAUCGGAAUUACUGGGCGUAAAGCGUGCGCAGGCGGUUUUGUAAGACAGAGGUGAAAUCCCCGGGCUCAACCUGGGAACUGCCUUUGUGACUGCAAGGCUUGAGUGCGGCAGAGGGGGAUGGAAUUCCGCGUGUAGCAGUGAAAUGCGUAGAUAUGCGGAGGAACACCGAUGGCGAAGGCAAUCCCCUGGGCCUGCACUGACGCUCAUGCACGAAAGCGUGGGGAGCAAACAGGAUUAGAUAGCCCUGGUAGUCCACGCCCUAAACGAUGUCAACUGGUUGUUGGGAAGGUUCCUUCUCAGUAACGUAGCUAACGCGUG